rfam:Erwinia billingiae strain Eb661 complete chromosome.
AACAGGGAGCGACCAAACCAAAAAAGGAUGAGCCGGCAGCGCAACGUGCGCGGCCGGCAAGU